rnacentral:rRNA from 1 species
GUGCACCAGUCGAGAAAACUUUACAAUGCGGGAAACCGUGAUAAGGGAAUCUCGAGUGCCAGCAUAUAAUGUUGGCUGUCCAGAUGCCUAAAAAGCAUCUGUUAGCAAGGGCCGGGCAAGACCGGUGCCAGCCGCCGCGGUAACACCGGCGGCCCGAGUGGUAACCGUUUUUAUUGGGUCUAAAGGGUCUGUAGCCGGUCAUGUAAGUCCCUUGGGAAAUCUGGCAGCUCAACUGUCAGGCUGCUAGGGGAUACUGCUUGGCUUGGGACCGGGAGAGGUGAGAGGUACCUUGAGGGUAGGGGUGAAAUCUUGUGAUCCUCGGGGGACCACCAGUGGCGAAGGCGUCUCACCAGAACGGGUCCGACGGUAAGGGACGAAAGCUAGGGGCACGAACCGGAUUAGAUACCCCCGUAGUCC